rnacentral:rRNA from 2 species
UACGGAGGGUGCAAGCGUUGUUCGGAAUUACUGGGCGUAAAGCGCGCGUAGGCGGUUUGUUAAGUCAGAUGUGAAAGCCCAUGGCUCAACCAUGGACGUGCAUUUGAAACUGGCAGACUUGAGUAUUGGAGGGGGUGGUGGAAUUCCCGGUGUAGAGGUGAAAUUCGUAGAUAUCGGGAGGAAUACCGGUGGCGAAGGCGACCACCUGGCCAAAUACUGACGCUGAGGUGCGAAAGCGUGGGGAGCAAACAGG